UCCCAUAUGGUCUAGUGGCCAGGAUUCCUGAUUUUUCACCCAGGUGGCCUGGGUUCGACUCCCAGUAUGAGAA